AUACGGAGGGUGCAAGCGUUAAUCGGAAUUACUGGGCGUAAAGCGUACGUAGGCGGUUUAUUAAGUCAGAUGUGAAAGCCCCGGGCUUAACCUGGGAACUGCAUUUGAAACUAGUAGACUAGAGUACGGUAGAGGGGGGUAGAAUUCCUAGUGUAGCGGUGAAAUGCGUAGAUAUUAGGAGGAAUACCAGUGGCGAAGGCGGCCCCCUGGACCAAUACUGACGCUGAGGUACGAAAGCGUGGGGAGCGAACAGGAUUAGAUACCCCGGUAGUCC
rnacentral:rRNA from 1 species